rnacentral:lncRNA from 1 species
AAACAACAGAUCGGGUUUCUAAAAGCUAUUUCAACCCCCCUCCCAGUUACUGCCACCCUCUCCCAGGUCUAGAGAGGGGUACCCACGGUGGAGGGAGGUGGGAGGCCGAGACGGCCCCGGGGGUCGGCGGAGACCCAGCGGGAGCAGGGGGAAAUCGGAAGAGCUGGGGGCAUGGAGCGGGCGAGUUUGGAGCGGAAUGAGCCGGGAGCCCUACGUUGUGGAAGGAAGACAACAGUAUAGGACCAUCAGCAGGACCGGACAGAGAGGGGCACCCCUGGCUGUCCUGGAACUUGUAGACCAGGCUGGCCUUGAACUCAGAAAUCCGCCUGCCUCUGACUCCCGAGUGCUGAGAUUAAAGGUGUGCACCACCACACCCGACAAGGAAGCCUGUUUUAAGAAGUGAUUCCAUGGAGGAGUUCUGCGGCGGCUCAGGGCUUGACUAAACAGUGGACCUCAGACAAGAGAGGCUAAACCAGGCUGCAGGUGACAGGAAGAAUUGAAUAAACUGAAAGCAAAGGGCAGCCUUCUAAUUACGCUUCGUGGCUAUGUGGACAACCUGGAGAAGUCUGGAAACGUGAGUGGUGCUAAUCCCCUUUGUAAUGAAAGGCCCGGGUAAAAACAGAUGGGGCAAGUAGGUGUAAUGGGUAUUUCAGGAGCUUGAAUCUGAUGUCACAGCUUGUCUGGAUGGGACGUGCAUCUACUUGCAGAGCUAUGUUCCCAUCUAGUGUAAUUGUGGGUGUUUUAAUUCAGGCGUCACCUCUAUUUUGUCCUCUCUCCACAGCUUUCCUCCUCCAUUUUACUACUUGAGGGAGCAGUGGGUGGGAUACUAGGCAAGUAGCUGCAAUGGCUGGUGCUUUAUGGUUCCCUGGCAUCCCCUGAAUCUGUUAACAUCCCAACCUUCUUGACAGCCAGCCCCACCCCAUCACAUUCUUACUCCUUCCCUUUCCAAGAAAGAAGCCAGAAGCCCGAAGCCAGCAGUAGAGCUCUGACUGGCUUGUAUGCCUAGAAAGGAAGGGCUCUUCUUUCGCCUCACGGGCACAAAUGGGACCCACGAGCGCCGAUUUCAGACUAUUCUGAUCCCUUCAAAAAGAAAGUUAGGAGUCCAGGCUACUGUGAGUGAAUUUGAUUCUAAUUGUUUCAGAGAAUAUGGAAUAAAAUAUCUCAUUUGCAGUUGUUUA